UCGUGAGAUGUUGGGUUAAGUCCCGCAACGAGCGCAACCCCUGUCUUAUGUUGCCAGCACGUUAUGGUGGGGACUCGUGAGAGACUGCCGGGGUCAACUCGGAGGAAGGUGGGGAUGACGUCAAAUCAUCAUGCCCCUUAUGUCUAGGGCUUCACACAUGCUACAAUGGCUAGUACAGAGGGCUGCGAUACCGCGAGGUGGAGCGAAUCCCUUAAAGCUGGUCUCAGUUCGGAUUGGGGUCUGCAACUCGACCCCAUGAAGUCGGAGUCGCUAGUAAUCGCAGAUCAUCAACGCUG
rnacentral:rRNA from 1 species